rnacentral:lncRNA from 1 species
AGAUUUAUUUAUUUAUUUAUUUAUUUAUUUAUUUAUUUAUUUAUUUAAAGACUGUCACUGUCUUCAAACACACCAGAAGAGGGCAUCGGAUCCCAUUACAGAUGGUUUAUGAGCCACCAUGUGGUUGCUGGGAAUUGGACUCAGGACUUCUGGAAGACAGUCAGUGCUCUUAACUGCUGAGCCAUCUCUCCACCCCUCUUCAUGGUUUUGGCCUAUUUGUUCUGCAUCAAAAUACAGCAGAUCUGGCUUAUUGAUGAAAUUCAUGAGACAUCAACAUGCUUCCUCCUGUUCAGCACAAUCUGCCUCCCUAGCUCCCACAGAGAUUGGUGGGUAUUCCAGUUUUUUCCUCUUUUCUAUCCUCUGUGAUUUUCCAUUUUAUGACUUGGUUUUCUUUUGGUUUUAUACUUUUAUUUUCUUCUGAUUUUGUAAUUGAUUUCAAAUCCAUGACAAAUCUACCUGUAUUGCUCUUAGCUUUGCAAAC